rnacentral:lncRNA from 13 species
GGGGGGGGUCAUUUUUCUGUCUGUAACAGGGUGUGACAUACACUGUGCACUGUGUGUGUGUGGAGGGGACAUUUUCCUGUCUGUAACAGUGUGUGACAUGCACUGUGCACUGUGUGUGUGUAGGGGACAUUUUCUUGUCUGUAACAGGGUGUGACGUGCACUCUGCACUGUGUGUGGGGGGGGCAUUUUCCUGUCUGUAACAGGGUGUGACAUGCACUGUGUGUGUGUGUGUGUGUGUGUGCGUGUAUGAAGGGCAUCCUCCUGUCCAUAAAUGGGGGAUACACACACACACACACGUAUACACGCCUGUUAUUUGCUUUUAUUUUUGCUUGUGCACAGGCUGUUUCUGGAAUGAUCUAGAAGACACAGAAGAAGUAACUGGCUUCACACAGGAAGUUCUGUUGCUGGGUGAACAAGUGGGACAAGCCGUGGAAGGAGCUGUUUGGCUCCUGUGUUUCCUUUCCUUCUAGCUGUGAAAACGGGAGCCCAGGAUGUUCUUGAACAAGGUGGAAUCACCCCAAGUAAAAGGCCUCCUGCUGGUAAAAUCUGAGAACGCCCGCUUCGCAUUUCCAGGCUCCGAGAUAGCAGUGCGUCUGUGAAUUCUACAACACAGCAGUUCCUGCUGGGAGCUGAUCCAUUUUGUCUAAAGCACGAACUUUUUUGAGCAACAAGCCAAAAACAAGGUUUUUCAGAUGGUUUGCCUC